UCAGCGGAUGGAGCUCCAGUGGCGCAAUCGGUUAGCGCGCGGUACUUAUACAGCAGUACAUUGCAGAGCCAUGCCGAGGUUGUGAGUUCGAGCCUCACCUGGAGCAGAUAUUUUGGAAUUGUACACGUACAUAAGAGUGUUGUGAAUAACUAGAAAUGAUUACUAGGCUAUAACAACAAUAUUACGGACAUAUUUCUGGUGAAAAAGAAAGAUGGCACUACAACAUAAUUGGAGGAAAAGGCUUUCACAUCUUAAUUUUUCCCCAACUGAUGGCAGUAUUGUACAAGGAAGAUUGAUGAUGAAGCGGUUACAUCUCUGAAUGUGAUGUCACCUCACUUGGCAUGACAAACAGCAGGCCAGUGAUCUGAGGUCCAAUGCUGUCAAAAGUAUGCUUUGUUUCUAACCAUAUUUAAGGUCAUGAACAUUAAAAAAAAAUCUGC